rnacentral:lncRNA from 1 species
GUGUUUCCAUCUCUCUCGUCCCUUCUCUAAUGAUAUGUAUACCUUCUUUUUUUCUUUAGUAAUUCACCCCUAAAUCCUACAAAGCCCUGUCCCGUUUUAAGUGUUUUAACCCCUAAUCACUGAUGCCCUGUCCGACUGACGUAGGGGCCCCGUAACGUAUGUCAAGGCUCUGUCUAAAUUCGUUGGGGUUCUGUCUCGUGACGUAGGGAUAAAGUAGAAUUGGGUCACUAUACUUAAUGUGAGUGCACUAUAUAUUUUAUUAAAUAAUCCAGGACUUGUACCCAAAAUAUAGCAACCCUCCUAAAACACUCCUGACACCCCUACACUUCCUAAAAUACACCCCGUAUGUAAAAACCGAGCUCGAAAUACAAUAUAUUAUUAAAAAUAAAUGAAAAACAAGAAAUAGUAAGUUGAGGCGGGCCGCGUAGACCCACCCCAACCUUUACGCGGCCGCGAGGGACUAAAAAGGUGGCACAGCCUGGUGCGGCCACGUGUCCCAACACCCGGCUAAGCUAGUUGUCGACUCAGCACAGCUACGCGUUGGACCUAGCUUUGACGCGGGCCGCGUAAGCUUUGUGCUUAUGUUACGCGAGCCGCGAGAGACCCAAGUUCAGGCACUAUAUAAAAGAGGCAUCGGCUGUCCAUUUCAAUUCGUUCACAAUUCAUUCUCACUCUCAAAAUUCUGAAUUAGAGUUAUUAUACUCGGGCAUUAUACCCCCCUAAUUAGCGAAGCUCUGCCUCGUUGUAAGUAUCAUAACCCAUGGAUACGUAUUAGAUACUCUACCCGAUUGAUCUAGGGUUCCGUAACGACUGUCGUGGUUCUGCCCGACGUAGUCGUUGGAAUACCGUCUCGGGGAGGGUAUUACUAAUGUUAAAAUGGGUUAUUAUACUAACGCGUGUGCAUUGUUUAUUCAAUUAGAUUAUAACCAGGGAAUCACAAAGGAAAGCCUAUAAAAGCAAUGUGAGUUGAUUCACUUUUUGUAAACAUUUUUGUUUACUGUUUUUACAAAACCUCACUUAAUUAAAUAUAUACAAAGCAGUUAUUGAGUAUUUGUAAAGAAUACAAUUAUAGUGGAUAUGUUGGGGUUUUGUAUACAAAAUGGGUUACUGGCGUGGUAACAUCCCAUAUGUUGAGUAUGACCGUACCACUGAUGUUAAUUGUGAUGUCUUGGAUACAAAUGUAAAUUGCGGAUGUGCCCUCAAUACUGCAAAUUGGUUUUUACUUAAACUUGAUUAAACUGGGAUUCACUCACCAGUAUUUCUUGCUGAUAAAAUGUUUUAAACACGUGUUUCAGAGUAUGAGUAACUUAGUGUGAAGCCAAUAAAAGGCAGCUGGAGAGCACUGAAGGCUUGGAAAAGUGGCUAUAAAGUUACCUAAAAUAAAAUAGAUGUUUUCAUUAAAUAAAAUAGGAUUUAUUCCUAUGAAAAUGUGUGUACCACAAAACUUGGGUUUUAUCCCAUGUGU